rnacentral:rRNA from 1 species
UACAGAGGGUGCGAGCGUUAAUCGGAAUUACUGGGCGUAAAGCGCGCGUAGGCGGCUUUUCAAGUCGAUUGUGAAAUCCCCGGGCUUAACCUGGGAACUGCAGUCGAGACUGUCUAGCUAGAGUAUGGGAGAGGGAAGUGGAAUUUCAGGUGUAGCGGUGAAAUGCGUAGAUAUCUGAAGGAACAUCAGUGGCGAAGGCGGCUCUCUGGAACGCAACUGACGCUGAGACGCGAAAGCGUGGGGAGCAAACAGG